rnacentral:pre_miRNA from 1 species
GUGUUACCAGGAGUUCCCUUCAAGCACUUCACAUGAAGCUCUUUGCAUUAUAUUGGCGGAUGUAGCAUUGAGACCAAUGUGAAGUGUUUGGGGGAACUCUAGGUGUUAC